AGUUCACUUGCGACAUUCUUUUGUUCAGAGUUACAUUUUCUUUAAUGAUAAACCCCUCUGAGCUGCUUGGGCUAAUGAGGAAAAAGGCUGAGUGAUAGUGGGUGGCUGUGAUUGGUUGAGAGUGUCAGCUGGACAAUUUCAGCCUAUCACAGCACUCGAUGCCUGUAUGAAUUGCUAUGGCUUACUGCCGUGUGGGCUGGGAUUUGGGUGGCCAGGGGUUGGCAAUGUUAAACUGCUUGAAAAUGGUCUAUUACUGAAUGUAGGGACAAUGCCAGGGUACUCCUGGCACUAAAAUCAAUGAAAUAAAAUGGCUAUAAUGUCUACAGUGUCCAUUUAAGCUUUGCAGGAGGGGUUUUUCAAAUAUUCAACGUUCAAAUGUUGGCAAACUAAAACUCCUAUGAACCUUUUUGCGUCCCACUUUUUUUUUACUUUUUAAAUCUUUGGGUGUGCUUCUUUUCUUUGCAUAGGGUCAUGGGAGUUGGUCUGCGAACAUCUUGAGGUAAUAGUAAUUGAUUAUCCCUCAUCUAACUCAUUCACUUAAACAUUGAAUGACA